rnacentral:rRNA from 1 species
UAGGGAAUAUUGGACAAUGGGUGCGAGCCUGAUCCAGCCAUGCCGCGUGCAGGAAGAAAGCCUUCUGGGUUGUAAACUGCUUUUCUCUGGGGAUAAAAGGCCCAUGCGUGGGACAUUGAAGGUACCAGAGGAAUAAGCCACGGCUAACUACGUGCCAGCAGCCGCGGUAAUACGUAGGUGGCAAGCGUUGUCCGGAUUUAUUGGGUUUAAAGGGUGCGUAGGCGGCUUUGUAAGUCAGUUGUGAAAUACGGCAGCUCAACUGUCGAGGUGCAAUUGAUACUGCAAAGCUUGAGUACUGAUGAGGUAGGCGGAAUGGACGGUGUAGCGGUGAAAUGCUUAGAGAUCGUCCAGAACACCGAUAGCGAAGGCAGCUUACUAAGGAGUAACUGACGCUGAGGCACGAAAGUGUGGGGAUCAAACAGGAUUAGAUACCCUGGUAGUCCACACUGUAAACGAUGAUUACUCGAUGUGUGCGAUAUACGGCACGCGUCUUAGCAAAAGCGAUAAGUAAUCCACCUGGGGAGUACGCCGGCAACGGUG